rnacentral:rRNA from 2 species
CGCACGCGCGCUACACUGAUGCAAUCAACGAGCCUAUCCUUGACCGACAGGUCCGGGUAAUCUUUGAAACUGCAUCGUGAUGGGGAUAGAUUAUUGCAAUUAUUAAUCUUCAACGAGGAAUGCCUAGUAAGCGCGAGUCAUCAGCUCGCGUUGAUUACGUCCCUGCCCUUUGUACACACCGCCCGUCGCUCCUACCGAUUGGAUGUGCUGGUGAAGUGUUCGGAUUGGCGGCAGUGGGCGGUUCGCCGCUUGCUGCAGCCGAGAAGUUCUCUAAACCCUCCCAUCUAGAGGAAGGAGAAGUCGUAACAAGGUUUCCGUAGGUGAACCUGCGGAAGGAUCAUUG